GGCCGCGGGAAUUCGAUUCAGGCCUAACACAUGCAAGUCGAACGAGCGAGAGAGAGCUUGCUUUCUCGAGCGAGUGGCGAACGGGUGAGUAACGCGUGAGGAACCUGCCUCAAAGAGGGGGACAACAGUUGGAAACGACUGCUAAUACCGCAUAAGCCCACAGCUCGGCAUCGAGCAGAGGGAAAAGGAGUGAUCCGCUUUGAGAUGGCCUCGCGUCCGAUUAGCUGGUUGGUGAGGUAACGGCCCACCAAGGCAACGAUCGGUAGCCGGACUGAGAGGUUGAACGGCCACAUUGGGACUGAGACACGGCCCAGACUCCUACGGGAGGCAGCAGUGGGGAAUAUUGCACAAUGGGGGAAACCCUGAUGCAGCGACGCCGCGUGGAGAAAGGAGGUCUUCGGAUUGUAAACUCCUGUUGUGAGGAAGAUAAUGACGGUACUCAACAAGG
rnacentral:rRNA from 1 species